rnacentral:rRNA from 1 species
GUGGGGAAUCUUGCGCAAUGGGCGAAAGCCUGACGCAGCCAUGCCGCGUGAAUGAUGAAGGUCUUAGGAUUGUAAAAUUCUUUCACCGGGGACGAUAAUGACGGUACCCGGAGAAGAAGCCCCGGCUAACUUCGUGCCAGCAGCCGCGGUAAUACGAAGGGGGCUAGCGUUGCUCGGAAUUACUGGGCGUAAAGGGCGCGUAGGCGGAUCGUUAAGUCAGGGGUGAAAUCCCAGAGCUCAACUCUGGAACUGCCCUUGAUACUGGCGAUCUUGAGUGUGAGAGAGGUAUGUGGAACUCCGAGUGUAGAGGUGAAAUUCGUAGAUAUUCGGAAGAACACCAGUGGCGAAGGCGACAUACUGGCUCAUUACUGACGCUGAGGCGCGAAAGCGUGGGGAGCAAACAGGAUUAGAAACUCCGGUAGUCC